CCUACGGGCGGCAGCAGUAGGGAAUCUUUCACAAUGGGCGACAGCCUGAUGGAGCAACGCCGCGUGCAGGAUGACGGCCCUCGGGUUGUAAACUGCUUUUAUAAGCGAGAAAUAUGAUGGUAACUUAUGAAUAAGGAUCGGCUAACUACGUGCCGGCAGCCGCGGUCAUACGUAGGAUCCGAGCAUAAUCCGGAGUAACUGGUGGUAAAGAGUGUCGUAGGUGGCAUAAUAAGUAGCUAGUGAAAUCUGGUGGCUCAACCAUUCAGACUAUUAGCUAAACUGUUAAGCUCGAGACCGUUAGGGGUAACUGGAAUUUCUAGUGUAGGAGUGAAAUCCGUAGAUAUUAGAAGGAACACCAAUAGCGUAGGCAGGUUGCUGGGACGGUUCUGACACUAAGGCACGAAAGCGUAGGUAGCAAACGGGAUUAGAUACCCCUGUAGUC
rnacentral:rRNA from 1 species